rnacentral:rRNA from 1 species
UCGAGCGCCUGGUUUCGGCCAGGAGCGGCGGACGGGUGAGUAACACGUAGGUCAUCUACCUUUGGGUGGGGGAUAACUCGGGGAAACCCGUGCUAAUACCGCACAAGGCCGUAAGGUCAAAGCCCGCAAGGGCGCCCGGAGAUGAGCCUGCGUCGCAUUACCUAGUUGGUAGGGUAAUGGCCUACCAAGGGGACGAUGCGUAGCUGGUCUGAGAGGAUGAUCAGCCACACUGGGACUGAGACACGGCCCAGACUCCUACGGGAGGCAGCAGUGGGGAAUAUUGCGCAAUGGGCGAAAGCCUGACGCAGCCACGCCGCGUGAGUGAUGAAGGCCUUCGGGUUGUAAAGCUCUGUCUGAGGGGACGAAUACUGACGGUACCCUCAAAGAAAGCACCGGCUAACUCCGUGCCAGCAGCCGCGGUAAUACGGAGGGUGCGAGCGUUG